rnacentral:rRNA from 1 species
UACGGAGGAUGCGAGCGUUAUCCGGAUUUAUUGGGUUUAAAGGGUGCGCAGGCGGAAUGUCAAGUCAGCGGUAAAAUUUCGGGGCUCAACCCCGUCGUGCCGUUGAAACUGGCGUUCUUGAGUGAGCGAGAAGUAUGCGGAAUGCGUGGUGUAGCGGUAAAAUGCGUAGAUAUAUGGAAGAACACCAGUGGCGAAGGCGGCCGCCUGGCCUGUUACUGACGCUGAGGCACGAAAGCGUGGGGAGCAAAUAGG